rnacentral:rRNA from 1 species
GAUGAACGCUAGCGGCAGGCUUAACACAUGCAAGUCGAGGGGUAUAGUUCUUCGGAACUAGAGACCGGCGCACGGGUGCGUAACGCGUAUGCAAUCUACCUUUUACAAAGGAAUAGCCCAGAGAAAUUUGGAUUAAUACCUUAUAGUAUUACGACUUGGCAUCAAGAUGUAAUUAAAGAUUUAUCGGUAAAAGAUGAGCAUGCGUCCCAUUAGCUAGUUGGUAUGGUAACGGCAUACCAAGGCUACGAUGGGUAGGGGUCCUGAGAGGGAGAUCCCCCACACUGGUACUGAGACACGGACCAGACUCCUACGGGAGGCAGCAGUGAGGAAUAUUGGACAAUGGGCGCAAGCCUGAUCCAGCCAUGCCGCGUGCAGGAUGACGGUCCUAUGGAUUGUAAACUGCUUUUAUACAGGAAGAAACAACUCUACGUGUAGAGUCUUGACGGUACUGUAAGAAUAAGGAUCGGCUAACUCCGUGCCAGCAGCCGCGGUAAUACGGAGGAUCCAAGCGUUAUCCGGAAUCAUUGGGUUUAAAGGGUCCGUAGGCGGUUUAGUAAGUCAGUGGUGAAAGCCCAUCGCUCAACGGUGGAACGGCCAUUGAUACUGCUAGACUUGAAUUAUUAGGAAGUAACUAGAAUAUGUAGUGUAGCGGUGAAAUGCUUAGAGAUUACAUGGAAUACCAAUUGCGAAGGCAGGUUACUACUAAUAUAUUGACGCUGAUGGACGAAAGCGUGGGUAGCGAACAGG